GUUAUCACCAUUUGUAAAAUAAGAAACUGUAAUUACAUUAAGUGUUUGGAAAUUCCAAGAGGUCCUAAUAGAGUCAAGUAACACACAUCUGCAGCUUCAUUUCCAGCCAGUUAGGGAGUGUGAGGUCUUUGAAACGCCACUAUCAGCUCUAUUUGGUAGAUCAUGGUAGAAUUCUACAUGUUUGUCCAAGCUGAACUGGACUUUCUCAACUACAUCCUGGUCAACUCAGCUGUGCUCAGACUGGAGAUGGACGCUUUCCAAGGUUUUAUGGCCUCGCAAAGAUUCAGAGCCAUGAAUGCCUGUAGCCUUGCAAAGCGACUCAGUGAAGGUUCACGUGAGAAGAAGAGCACUGAAAUUUGGCUGGUUUGAGAUGACCUGCUCCUUGUCUCGGAAGGGGAAAAGAGCGGAUGACAGCUGCACAGAGUUUUUAGUUAUUAAAUGGUGUUUAAAAAAAU